CCUACGGGAGGCAGCAGUGAGGAAUAUUGGUCAAUGGGCGAGAGCCUGAACCAGCCAAGUAGCGUGAAGGAUGACUGCCCUACGGGUUGUAAACUUCUUUUAUAAAGGAAUAAAGUGAGGCACGUGUGCAUUAUUGUAUGUACGUUAUGAAUAAGGAUCGGCUAACUCAGUCCCAGCAGCCGCGGGACUACGGAGGAGGCGAGCGUUAUCCGGAUUUGUUGGGCUUAACGUGAGCGUAGAGGGGUUGUUAAGUCAGUUGUGAAAGUUUGUCGCUCAACCGUAAAAUUGCAUUUGAAACUGGCAGCCUUGAGUACAGUUGAGGUAGGUGGAAUUCGGGGUGUAGCGGUGAAAUGCUUAGAUAUCACGAAGAACUCCGAUUGCGAAGGCAGCUUACUAAACCGCCACUGACACUGAUGCGCGAAAGUGUGGGUAGCAAACAGGAUUAGAUACCCCAGUAGUC
rnacentral:rRNA from 1 species